UCAAUCCAGCGAUGCAAGAGGGCUGGAAACAACGAGCGCCUAGAGAGACCUCGGCCUCCGGCGAUCGUCGUUCCCGAGAAGGAGCUCGCGCUUUUUCUGGGUUUCGCCCCGGCUGCUAGAAUUCUUCGUUCCUCCACCAGUUUUUCUAGACGCGGAGUACUACGUUCUCUAAUAUACACUUCACAGAGCUUUGGCUGAGCUCAAAGGGAUUCCUCCACCGGGGCCGAGCUUCAAGGACGAGAUGACAAUGGCCGAACACGUAACGUGAACUUCAAGAAUGGAUUGCCGCUAGUAUUGAUAUCAAGUUUAUGGACGACAAGCUGACCGAAAGCAGUGCCUCGGGGCGGUCCAAGAACGUCGUCGGAGCUUCAUAUCGCUAAGAGGAGGUGCGUGUUCUACGCGAGCUAGCGAUUAGGAUCAUAUUCGACAGAUGCCUGCGCCAGGAAACUCAAGAAAGACGUCUCAGUUUCGAGUGUUCAUGCACUGACGUUCUACUCUCGUUUUCUGGAGGCGAUCUAUGAGUUUGAAAGAUCGACAAACUGGUGGUGAUGAGGUUGGAUCCAGCAUCACGGGGAGGAAUUGUUGCUUUCAAGUUUUUGUUUAGUAUCAUCUUCGUGCCAGGAAACUCGAGACAUGGAAUCCGA